GAUGAACGCUAGCGGCAGGCCUAAUACAUGCAAGGCGAGGGGUUCGCAAGGACACCGUCGUACGGGUGCGUAACGCGUAUGCAACCUACCUAUCACAGGGGGAUAGCCUUUGGAAACAGGGAUUAAUACCGCAUAAAGCAGGGGCUUGGCAUCAAGAUACUGCUAAAGAUUUAUCGGUGAUAGAUGGGCAUGCGUCUGAUUAGUUAGUUGGCAGGGUAACGGCCUACCAAGACGAUGAUCAGUAGGGGGCGUCAGAGCGUGGUCCCCCACACUGGCACUGAGAUACGGGCCAGACUCCUACGGGAGGCAGCAGUAGGGAAUAUUGGGCAAUGGGUGCAAGCCUGACCCAGCCAUGCCGCGUGGAGGAAGAAGGUCCUCUGGAUUGUAAACUCCUUUUGUCGGGGAAGAAGAGUCAUCUUGCGAGGUGAUGUGACGGUACCCGAUGAAUAAGCCACGGCUAACUACGUGCCAGCAGCCGCGGUAA
rnacentral:rRNA from 1 species